ACGUUGAUAGGCUAUAGAUGUAAAGGCAGUAAUGUCAUAGUCGAGUAGUACUAAUAACCCGUAAGCUUAUGUAC
rnacentral:rRNA from 1 species